rnacentral:ncRNA from 1 species
GUAAGCAGAACUGGUGCUGCGGGAUGAACCGAACGCAUUGUUAAGGCGCCCAAAUAAACGACGCAUCAUCGAUACCAUGAGAGGUGUUGAUUGCUGAAGACAGCAGGACGGUGGACAUGGAAGUCGUCAUC